rnacentral:rRNA from 1 species
ACGCUGGCGGCAGGCCUAACACAUGCAAGUCGAGCGGUAGAGAGAAGCUUGCUUCUCUUGAGAGCGGCGGACGGGUGAGUAAUGCCUAGGAAUCUGCCUGGUAGUGGGGGAUAACGUUCGGAAACGGACGCUAAUACCGCAUACGUCCUACGGGAGAAAGCAGGGGACCUUCGGGCCUUGCGCUAUCAGAUGAGCCUAGGUCGGAUUAGCUAGUUGGUGAGGUAAUGGCUCACCAAGGCGACGAUCCGUAACUGGUCUGAGAGGAUGAUCAGUCACACUGGAACUGAGACACGGUCCAGACUCCUACGGGAGGCAGCAGUGGGGAAUAUUGGACAAUGGGCGAAAGCCUGAUCCAGCCAUGCCGCGUGUGUGAAGAAGGUCUUCGGAUUGUAAAGCACUUUAAGUUGGGAGGAAGGGCAUUAACCUAAUACGUUAGUGUUUUGACGUUACCGACAGAAUAAGCACCGGCUAACUCUGUGCCAGCAGCCGCGGUAAUACAGAGGGUGCAAGCGUUAAUCGGAAUUACUGGGCGUAAAGCGCGCGUAGGUGGUUUGUUAAGUUGGAUGUGAAAUCCCCGGGCUCAACCUGGGAACUGCAUUCAAAACUGACUGACUAGAGUAUGGUAGAGGGUGGUGGAAUUUCCUGUGUAGCGGUGAAAUGCGUAGAUAUAGGAAGGAACACCGGUGGCGAAGGCGACCACCUGGACUAAUACUGACACUGAGGUGCGAAAGCGUGGGGAGCAAAC